rnacentral:rRNA from 1 species
UCCUACGGGGGGCAGCAGUGGGGGAUAUUGCACAAUGGGGGGAACCCUGAUGCAGCGACGCCGCGUGGGUGAAGGAGUGCUUCGGCAUGUAAAGCCCUAUCGGCAGGGAAGAAGCAAGACGGUACCUGACUAAGAAGCCCCGGCUAACUACGUGCCAGCAGCCGCGGGAAUACGUAGGGGGCAAGCGUUAUCCGGAUUUACUGGGUGUAAAGGGGGCGCAGACGGCGAGGCAAGCCAGGAGUGAAAGCCCGGGGCCCACCCCCGGGACUGCUCUUGGAACUGCGUGGCUAGAGUGCAGGAGGGGG